UCCCUGCUAGCUCAGUGGUAGAGCGCCUCACUAGUACCUCAAUGGAUGCUAUGAGGAGGUCAGUCGUUCAAGUCGGCUGUGGGGAA